rnacentral:rRNA from 1 species
GAGUUUGAUCCUGGCUCAGAACGAACGCUGGCGGCGUGCCUAACACAUGCAAGUCGAACGAGAAAGUACCUUCGGGUGCGAGUACAGUGGCGCACGGGUGAGUAACACGUAGGUGACCUUCCCUUUUGAGUGGGACAACUAGAAGAAAUUUUAGCUAAUACCACGUACGCACAACUGACAUGAUUGAGGUUGUGGAAAGGAUGCCUCUAUUUAUAAGCAUUCGCAUAAGGAUGGGCCUGCGGGACAUUAGCUAGAUGGUGGGGUAAAGGCCUACCAUGGCGACGAUGUCUAGCCGGAUUGAGAGAUUGAUCGGCCACACUGGAACUGAGACACGGUCCAGACUCCUACGGGAGGCAGCAGUGGGGAAUCUUGCACAAUGGACGAAAGUCUGAUGCAGCAACGCCGCGUGAGUGAGGAAGGGUUUCGGCCUGUAAAGCUCUGUCAGGGUGGAAAAAUGAUUAGCGGUCGAAUAGGCGC